rnacentral:lncRNA from 1 species
GUGUUGCUUGAAGAACAUAUUCUAUGGAUAAAUGUCGGAUAGAUUAAUCUGAAUUAUCUUUAUUUUUUAGAUUUUCCAGUGGUUGAACCAACACUUACCGACGUAUUACUAAUAGUCAUAUUUGGAGGAACGAGUACAAUUUCAUCGCUUUUGUGAGGAAUAGUUUGGCGUUUGACCAGUGGCGGAACCACAUGAGGGUCAGAGGGGUCAGCUGACCCUCCGGCCGGUUGAAUUUUCCGGUAACAGGGUACUUUGCGUAGUAGCUUUUUCUAGAGAUUGAACCUCUAGAUUUCAACAUUAAGGUAACUGAAAGGAAAAACAGGGGUUAAAAAUGGAACAUUGUGAUGGAGGACGGUGGUGAAUGGUGGCGGAAGGCGGCUGAGCUCAGCGGCAGAUGAUGGUUUAUGUGAGAGAAGAAGAAAGCUUUUCAUCGGGAAGAAGAAAGCAAUGAAUGUUAUUUAUAUUAUAUAUUUUCUUUCAUUAAUGGAGUGUGAAGCUUGUCAGUGGUGUCUGCCGUCUAGACACACAGAACAAGCUUGCAUUAUUUCAGAAUUUUAAAAAUUAUUACUUAAUAUAAUUUAUAAUGUUUUAGUUCAUUUUUUCUUUAUUCUUCGUCUUAAAUUUAUUUAUUAUUUCUUUCUGGUAAUGCUUUCUAUUAAACUUAUCAUCAUCAUACUAUACUAUAUUAUAAUUUUAUUGCAUUCAAAUUUUUUACUUUGCAUCAACUUUACUUUUUUAGAUAUAAACAUAUUAGUAUAGGGGAUGGUUCAAAUGAAAACCACUUUUAUUGUGAAAACUCGAAA